rnacentral:ncRNA from 1 species
UUGUCUUCGGGGCGGGGUGCAAGUCCCCACCGGCGGUAUAGUCCGCGAGCGGCCGCAAGGUCUGCAGGAACCGGCGCAAUUCCGGUACCGACAGUAACAGUCUGGAUGAGAGAAGGCG